GCCGGGUGUGGUGGCGGGCGCCUGUAGUCCCAGCUACUCGGGAGGCUGAGGCAGGAGAAUCGCUUGAUCCCGGGAGGCGGAGGUUGCAGUGAGCCGAGAUCACACCACUGCACUCCAGCCUGGGUGACAGAGCGAGACUCUGUCUCAA
rnacentral:sRNA from 1 species